UGACUGAAAAGCCUACUGACCUACUGGAGA
rnacentral:piRNA from 1 species